rnacentral:lncRNA from 1 species
GAUGUUUGAUUCACAGCUUGUACCUCCAUCUUCUGCACGAUAAGUGCAUUUGUAGUCUGGGCAGCCUCUCUAUUAGCAUUUGUAGUCUGGGCAGCCUCUCUAUUGGCAUUUGUAGUCUGGGCAGCCUCUAUAUCGGCAUUUGUAGUCUGGGCAGCCUCUCUAUUGGCAUUUGUAGUCUGGGCAGCCUCUACAUCGGCAUUUGUAGUCUGGGCAGCCUCUCUAUCGGCAUUUGUAGUCUGGGCAGCCUCUCUAUUGGCAUUUGCCUCCUCCAGUAAUGCAUCAAAAUAAGCAUACGGGCCCCAUCCUAAAGUGAGGAGACAGAAAACUUGUGAUGAAUGUGGAUUCAGCAGAGAUAUUGAAAUAAUUGGCAAAACAUAAAAAAAUAAAUCUUUUCAAGUUCUUUAAGGAAAUUCAGGCUUCUGAAAACCAAAGUGACUUCACACUUUUUUAUCUGGCUAUCAACUUCAGAGACAAAAGAAUUAGCAGGGAAUGGAUGAAAUGAAAUGAUGAAACAUAUUUCCAACUGAACUGAUCAAAUGGGAUGCAGUAACACUGCAUAAUGACUCUACUGACAACAAGGAAUCGUUAUAUAAGAAAAUGAGGACUACAUUAC